rnacentral:lncRNA from 1 species
UUUGUUUUUGGGGUUGUUUUCUCAUCUCUCCAGGAAGCCUUAGACAUUGUUCAAAUUUGCAAAGCUGAUCAGGAGGAGAUAUUUGCCCUGCUUGCUGCAAUAUUGUGGCUUGGAAACAUAUCGUUUCACGUAAUUGGUGAUGAAAAUCACGUGGAGGUGUUGACUGAUGAAGGUAAAACCACAAUGAUAUGCUUUUGAUGGUGUCUCUUCUAAUGCGUGUUUUGUGUCUACUGCAGCUUUGGUUGUUUGAUUAUAAGUGAUACUGCCUCAAGUUUGUUUUCUAGGCAUAAACAAAAGAUGUACACAUCUUAUUGAUUUUGUUAAGCUGUGUUGGAGAGUUGGGAUCAUAUUUGUUGAUAGAAUAUAUUUAAUAUGUCAGUGCCGAGUCAGAGUGAUUAUAGAAGUACUAGGCAGCUUUAAAUUUUAAUUCUAGUAGUGGAAGUCUAAUUUUCCUUCUUGGCAAAUAAUAGAAUUUGGUGAUUGCCAGUAGAGUUCAUGUUUAUCACUGAUCGAAAGGAGUAGACUCGGUUGAAAUUUCACUCUAAAUGUUCUGAUGGCAAUUUGAUGUGCUCAAUCUUAACUGUAAUGCACUUCCUAAAGUUAUGAUGGUGCAAUAGGUUUUACAUGAUAGAAUAGGAAUGUAUAUGUAGUAAAAUAACCAGUAAGCUGAAUGAGUAGAAUAUCAUAAAUCUAAUAAUGUGAUUAGACAUGCAUCAUAGGAUAUACAUGUAGCCAGCAUUACAUGCAUGACAUGAUUACAUGGAGUUUUAUUUGAAAUACUACUGAUUUUACUAUUAACUUUUUACAGCUAUUACCAAUGCUGCCAGGCUGAUGGGUUCUAGUAUCCAGGACUUGACACUACUUUUGUCAACCCAUAAAAUCCGAUGUGGGAAGGAUGAUAUUGUUAAAAAAUUGACAUGGCAGCAGGUACUUUUAUUUCUUGAUUUAAAAGAAACUUUUUCGCAUAUGUUCUGCACACCUAUCAUAUAUUUGUAAACUAUUUGCCAAAUGCUUGAAUUUAUUUAGUGUUCUUAAUUAUCCUGUAUUCAGGCAAUUGACAGAAGAGAUGCAUUGGCAAAGUUUAUCUUUGCAAGCUUGUUUGAUUGGCUUGUGGAUCAAAUCAACAAGUCCCUUGGAUUGGAAAAACUGCAUACUGGGAGAUCCAUAAAUAUCCUUGAUAUUUAUGGGUUUGAGUCAUUUAGGGUACACAAGUUUUAUGAUUGAUUUUUCUCUUUGGUAAUGCUUUAAGUGCUGGACACUGUAUUGCUGAAUGCUGAUGAUGAUAAACUCUUCAAAUUUUCAGAAUAAUAGUUUUGAACAAUUUUGCAUAAAUUAUGCAAAUGAGAGGCUGCAACAACAUUUCAAUAGGCAUCUAUUUAAACUUGAGCAGGAGGUAAGAAUCUUAGAUCUUUAGCAGCCUUAACGUUACUCCAUGCAUAUCACGAUUAGGGCACCCUUCUAGGAACUUUCUUGGUUACACUGAAGGAAACAGUCCAUUACUUUCUGUAUCUCGUAUGCAUGCAUAAUUCUCUCUUGGUUCUCCAAAGUCAAAAAAUUUGUUGCCAUAACUUAUUUCAUUAAAAUGCCAGUAAAUGAUAAAAUGACUCUUCAUUUUAUAAUGGAAGAAGACCCAGAUUCCAGGGCUAUGAGGCUUUCUGAUCAACCCCAAUUGAAACCAGCCUUUGUUUUACGCACCUAUCAUGCUUGACAUUAUCAUUUUCUGACAUAAGUCUCAUCUUGCUGGAUGUAUUUUGUCUUUCACCAGUUAAAUUUCCUUGUAAUUGUUAUUUUGAUCUGAUUGUCUAGAUAGUCAAAUUUAUAGUUUCUUAUUAAUUUUAGGAUUAUGAAGUGGAUGGGAUUGACUGGACUAAAGUUGAUUUUGCUGACAACCAAGAAUGCUUAAACCUCUUUGAAAAGGUAUUUUUUGCCUUUCUGAUUCUGUAUUAUUCAUGUGCUGCUUUGUUUUAUGCUGGUUGUUUGGAUUCUUCACUUUGUUUUAUUGGCAUUGGACUAUCUGAAGUACUUUGGGCAUAUAUAUAGGCCAUUAAUUUUAAUAUAUAUUUGGUGUAUAUGCCCUAGCUUUUGAGCUAAUUAUUGUUUCAAGAAUAUUACCAUGGUAUUCAGCUGGUAUGUGAUAUAUGGUUGAGUGCUGUCAAUUGAUGCAUUAAUUAUUUUCUUGGGAUUUGUUGGUUUCCAAAACCAGAGUGUUUGCUAUUAUGCUUAAAGUGGUCACUCCUCCUCCAUUGCAUUCAUUUUUUGCAGAAACCUUUAGGACUACUGUCUUUGUUGGAUGAGGAAUCAAAUUUCCCUAAUGCCACUGAUUUGACUUUCGCCAAUAAGCUUAAGCAGCACUUGAGCAGUAAUCCUUGCUUUAAAGCUGAAAGAGGGAGGACUUUUGUCAUUCAUCAUUAUGCUGGUGAGGUCAGUUAUGCUUUUUGUAGAGGAGGUUUGAUUUUUUUCCCCCAUCUGUUUGAACCCUUCAAGUCAGUUUCACAACUUUGACAGUUAGUCCUUUUGCUCAUUGCUAACAUUAUAGAUGAAAUCAAGGCAUGUAAUUUUUCAAGGGAAUUUAUGGUUCCUCCAUCCUUUUUAUUUUGUGUGCAUGUGUGUUAGAUUUAAACUUAAAUACCACGGUGCAUAAGUUUCUUCUUCAUUUUUUUCAAUUAAGCACAGCAUCUUCUAAGAAGUGGCCUUGUUCAUUGUCUCGAAGUUGGAUCCAUUAGGUAAUUUAUUUUUUGACGUAAAAUUAUGCAUCUGAAAUGAAGUACUUCUUCAUUAGUUUAUGCAGUAGAGCUAGUAAAUAUCAGAAGAACUACAACGCCAUUGCGUAAAUUUGUGUUUAAUAGUGGCCAAUUUUGAUGGUAACACAUAAAAGGUAUAUCCUUAUGUGGCUGUUUUUUUUCCCCUGUUCGUACCCAUUUCUAGGUUAUUUACAUCUUAGUAUUUGAGAGGCAAAUUCUCCUAUUAAAAAUGAUGUAAAAAAUUAGUUUUAAAUUCAGCCAGUUUGUUAGGUGUAUGUGUUUGUGUAUAUAUUAUUAACAUUUAGAGUUUGAUCAGGUUGCGUAUGAUACAAAUGGCUUUCUGGAAAAGAACAGAGAUCUGCUGCACUCAGAUUUCUUGCAGCUACUUUCAUCCUGCAAUAGCCAACUGCUUGAGUUGUUUGCAAGUCCAUUAAGCCAAUCUGGUGGAUUGGAAUCCUCAACACAAAGUGUUGGUACUAAGUUCAAGGUAGACAGUUAUGCUAUAGUGUUUACAUCCACUCAUCUUUCUAUUGAUAGAAUUCAGAUGGGAUGCCAAAACUAGGCAAUUUUAUUAAACUAUCAUAUGUUUUUUUUUAUUAAAUUGUUGAUCAACUCUUCUUUUUUCCAUUUCAAAAAUAAUAUCUUGUCUGGAAGUAUAGAGAGUACAAAAGGAUGUCAUCUGACCAUUGUAUUUGUCACUUAUUCAAGUGCAUACCUUAUUUUUUAGCACAACAAUUGUGCUCUAGUCAGUGCAUAAUCCAUUUUUGAUAUUACGUUUUGCGAAACCUUGAGGGUGUCUCUUUCAUGCCUGUAGGGGCAACUAUUCAAACUGAUGCAGCAGCUGGAGGACACCACACCUCAUUUCAUUCGCUGUAUAAAACCAAAUACUAAGCAGCUUCCUGGAGUCUAUGAAGACAAUACUGUCUCACAACAACUUCGAUGUUGCGGAGUUUUGGAGGUGGUUAGGAUAUCAAGAUCUGGGUAUCCAACUCGAAUGACUCAUCAAGACUUUGCGAGAAGGUACAGGAUAACAUACUCCUUGCAUUCUUUGCUAGUUCAGUUUCCUUUUUGAUUACUGGUUGGGGUAUUAAACUUGCAUAAGAUUUAGGUAUGGCUUCCUACUCUUGGAGACAAAUGCAUCUCAGGAUCCAUUAAGCAUAUCAGUUGCUGUUCUACAACAAUGUAAUGUAGCCCCUGAAAUGUAUCAAGUUGGUUAUACCAAAGUGUUCCUUCGGACAGGCCAGGUUUGUAGCCGUACUUUACAACAGUUUCAAAUGUUUUAUGUUCUCCUGUCCUAUAUAGAUGUCAGGGACUUUAUACAUCUGGUUGAUUUUUGUGUCUACUUUGCCUUUAGUGUUCUGAUUAUUUGAACUUUAAGUUGGUGCGUAUAGAAUUCAGUAGCAAGGAUCUUUUGCAACUGUCAAUAGUAAUUCAAGUGACUGAAAUUUUCAUCACCUCACAUAUAAGAACAAAUCUCUUUUUGGUCUUUUGGACAUGAUUUAUCACACAUAUGUUUAUUUAGUAACUGCCUAAUCACUUGAUGCAUGCUUAGAAUAAAUAUGUCAUUUUGCUAAGCUGUUUGUAAAACUCACCAAUUAUCAGCUUGAAAUAAAUUAAUCGUGACUUAUGCAAAAAAUAUAAAAGUCUGUUGCAUUGUUAGACUUUGCCUGCUAUUACAGCAAUACGCUAAAGGUCAUUAAAGCUUUACUUACUGCUGAGUUAAAAAAAUUAUAUUCUCAAUUAAAUUGGGAAAAAAAAUAAAUAAAAGGGUCUUUCUUUAUCUUUUAGUGAUUCUCAUAUCUAUUAAUUAAUUAAGAGGCAUAUCAAUCUUUUGUUCUCGUGGAGUAUUUCUAUUUGGUUACCUAUAGAUCUCUUUGGGCAUGCUUAAGAGUAGGCCACUACCGUCUGCAUGAUACAUUGUAUGGGCAUUAUGUCAAGAAAAGAAAGAGGUAUUAUAAAUAGAACAUUCCUUUAUAUUUAUCACAUUUAAGUUGCACUUUAACACAGUAGUAGCAUAUAAUCACAAAACUAGGAAGUUUUAUGGACUUGGCUCUUGAGGAUUAUGUAACAAGUUUGAGAAUGAGUUGAGUAUGAGCCUGAAGUUUAUUGAGAAUGAGCUAAUUUCAAGUUAGCUCCAAGAAAAGUGUGAAUUCUCAAAAUUAAAAUAAUGAGCCUAAUAUAUAUCUCAAAUCAGCUUGACUUGGUUCAUCUAUAGCCUUAAUGCAAUAAAUUGAUGUUUAUAUGGAAGGUGAUGUCUUUUUGAGAAGUAGCUAUGCUUCUGGACUUCUUUGGUUGUUGCUUUGAUUUCUCAUCAGUUGUACGCAAUUGUCAGUUUCACAUAGGAUUUUGAAUAUGAGGAAAUCUAAGUUGGAGGGAAGGUAAUUUUUAGUCACACAAGCAACAUAAGUACAUAACUAUCCACUUUCAAGAUCAAAAUGCUGCUGAUGUUGGUUUGGAGCAUCUCUUGGGAAUCUCACAAAUUUGAAGGAUACUUUAUUUGUGAAUUAAAACCUCGAGUAGCUUGAUCCUUGGUUUUGGAUAUUGAAUUAGCUUAUUGCUUUUUGGCUUGAUAUGAUAUUAUGAUUAUCAGUCAAUUGCUUCACUGAUGUAUCAUGUGUUGAUGGAUCACAGAUUGCUAGAUUAGAGGAUCAAAGAAAGCAGGUUCUACAAGGCAUACUUGGGAUCCAAAAAUGUUUCCGUGGCUCCCACGCUCGUCGUGAUUUUAAUAAACUGAAACAAGGAGUGACAAUAUUACAAUCAUGUAAGGCACACUUAAUUCUUCAUACUUCCACAGUCCCGGAAAAAUAGACUUAUUGUUAUCUUCACAUAAAUUAAGAAAAUAUUGCUAAUACAGUUAAAAAAGUUUUGUGAUAUCUUUCCUAAUAUAGUCUCUACUCAUACUGUUUCAUUAGAAUCAUUACUAAAUUAUUCUUAUAAUUAAUAAAUUUUACAUUUUUAAUACAUAUUAAGUGGCAUAUUAGAAAGCUAAUAAAUAAAUUAUCAUCUCAAGAAAGAUCAUUGAAGGUCUAUAAUUUGGAUGGAUGAAAAGGAAAAGUAAGCGUAACUUUUGGGACAAAAGGGAGUAUUUGUUAUCUUAUUUGGUUGGGAUGUUCUGCUCUCUAUAUUUUAGUGGACUUUGCAUUUCAACAUUGAUUUUAGUCUAUCAUAUCCUAAUCACAGUGUCUCGCACUAGUAACUUUUAGUUGUUGACCUUUGUUGAUUGCUUUAAAGCACUAAAAAUAUUGUUUGGGUGGGGCAUUAGGUGCAACUUAUUGUGAUGAUUUUCUUGGAUCCUAAUGACCUGAUUCAGUAUGCUGUAAUUUCAAAUUUAUUUUGUUAACCUUUGAAAUGCAGUUGUCCGUGGUGAAAAUGCCAGAAGGAAGUACAUGUCCAUGCGAAGGAGUUGCACAGUUAGUGCUCCCAUCACAGUUGAUAUUGAUAAUAAGCUGUUGGCAAUUGUAUACUUACAAUCUGGUAACAAUUAUCCACUGGCCAGUUUUUACUCUUAAUAUUUGCAUGCGGUGCUGUAUUUUUAUCAUCUCCUCCUGCAGUAAUCCGUGGGUGGUUGGCUCGGAAGCAAUUCAAUGAGAGGCGUAAAUUGAAUCCAAAUGCUAAAAGAAAGCUAGGAAAGAAGAUUUCAGAACUGAAGGUAUUCUUCUUGACGCUGUUUCAGCUCUCAAGAGCCAUUACUGAAGCUAAUUUCAUUCACUACAGCUUUGACAUGCGUAAUUUACGGAAUUCUUGCAUAUUUUGGCACCUAUUUGUGAAUUCUGGCUUGUUGCAGACAUUGCAUUUUUCAGUUGUGGUUUCUCCUUUGUUGUUAAUUUCAGGCCCAGAAGUUUUGCUUGGAUAGAGAUUACAAUUCCCAUGAUGGAAGUGCCUUUUAUUAUUAUUAUUAUUAUUCAUUUAAAACUCUGAAUAAAUUUUGGAGUGUAGAUCCUUCCUAUCAAAAGAAAAACUGUCUGUUUGUGUUGCAUUUUGUAGUGCUAUUAACAAGAUCGCUUCACCAUUUGUUGAUGCAUCUGUUAAAUUCUCUCAUUGGUUUUUGAUAGGGGUAAUAUGCGUAUUAUAGAGCUUUGGGUACUCCUUCCCCAUAAGAUAGCAUUUGGCAUUAGGCCCAGCCCAGUUUCUGUUGGGAGCAAAUCAGUUAUCAUAUGCACAGAGAUUUGCUUCAGCAUAUUUUGGUCAUGUUUCCUCUAUGAUGGGAAAAUAUGAUUUAAAAUUGUUACCUAGAAAGUUGUCUGUUAGGAUGAGUUCAAGAUAAAAUUAAUAACCCUCUAGUAUUGACUAGGCAUCUGUAAUAUGUCAUAUGUGGCAUUUAUUAUGCAUCUUAUACAAUCUUUCUUGAACUUAAUAACUGUCAUGUGCCUGAAGAGUUUUUAGCCAUCAUGAUCGUCUCUUUCGCCUGGCUAUUUGGAUGAUCUUAUUGGGAAUUGAUAAAAAAUACUAGAUACAAUUUUUUUCUCAUAAAAACAAGGUAAGCAGCUCUGGAGUCAAAGAUUGAUCAUUAUUUGCAGGAACACCAUAGCAACUGUGAUAAAAACUUACAUGUGCCUUGAUGCAUAUUUCUGUUCUCAUUUUUCUGUACAUUUAAAUAACACAAUGAAGUUGACUUUUCCAUGUUGACCAGGUCAUACCACGAGAACAAAUUGAGCUUCAGACUUCGAUUUUGGCAGACCUUCAAAGGAGGGUUACUAAAGCGGAAGCAACUAUAGUGCAAAAGGAAGAGGAAAAUGCUGCAUUGCGGGAGCAAUUACAACAGUUUGAGAGACGCUGGUCAGAAUAUGAGGCAAAGAUGAAAAAAAUGGAAGAAACAUGGCAGAUGCAGAUGGACUCAUUGCAAGUAAGUUUACUUAUUAAUUCAUAAAUAUGCCUGUUUUGUUCUUAAUAUACAAGAAGGACAAAAACAGAGAACUGUAAAGAAAUUAAUCUAAUUUUUGAAGGCUACAGAUCAUACAUUCAAAAUGACUUUAUAUUGUGACAACAAUGACCCACUAAUAAAGAAAAUGUACUUGACGGCCAGUUUUUUGGUUAUCUUCCUGUGAGGGAGUAUCUUUACCAAGUGAAAGAGCAUAUCUUCAUCAGCAAGAAAAAUAAUAGGGAUGGCUUCAUUAUUAUUAAUAAAUUUUAAAUUUCUAAAACAACAAUUUCAAUGCAAAUGUGCUGUUGUGGAAUGUCAACUUUACAUGGUUUUGAACAAUGCACCUUGAGUUGAACCAUUGAAGACAUAUCCUUGAUAGUGGUAGGUAUCGGCUUACCAGAGAUCAUUAUCUAAGGUUAGCCAAUGAAACGUUGGACUUUUAGUUGGUCAAUAGGUCUAUAACCACCAUAGAUGGGACAGCUGUUUGGGGUAGUUAUAAUUAUCUUCAUCAGUUAGGAGGAGGCUUGUGUACCUUUUUAUUUGUUCAACAUCAAAUGGAUUAGCUUUACUGGGUUACAUUAUGGUGCAAACACAAUGUCUUUAUUUGUUAAGAUAGGAAUUUAUAAAAAGGAGGUAGUGUACCUAUAAGCUUAGGUAGCUGAAGUUGCUCUGAGAAUAUUUUAACUGGGGAGACCUUUACUAACUUGUCAUUUAGUAUGGAUCUUAUUUGCAACUGUAAUUGCUUCAUGGUCAUCAAAUGUUAAAAACAGCAGAAUGCCAUUGGCUUAUGGACCUAGUUUGAUAGGAAACCUAAUCCAUGCUUGUCAUAUGGAUUCUUCGCAUGAUGUUAAUAUUAUUACUUAUAUGCUGAAGUAUCUUGAUUGUAAUUUCAUUGCCAGACAAGUCUUGCUGCAGCCAGAAAGAGUCCUGCUCCUGAUAACACUGUUGGUCAACCUGGUAAAUUAUCUGAUCCUUUUGCAACACCUGGCUGUUAUGAUUCUGAGGAUAACUUGUCCUCAGGUCUUCGAACUCCUGGCGGAAGCACACCCACCAAAAUGCCUAGUUCUGUUCAUGAUGGAAGAGUAGUAGUAGGGAGCGAGACUAAUAGCCCUAUGAUUGGAGUCAACGUUCUUGCAAGGGAAUUUGAGCAACGGAGACAAAAUUUUGAUGAUGAUGCCAAAGCACUAAAUGACACUAAAGCAGCACAACCUGCUUCUGAUGCAGAAUUUAGAAAAUUGAAAUUAAGAUUUGAGACAUGGAAGAAAGAAUACAAGGCAAGAUUACAAGAGACUAGGACAAGGCUCAGCAAACUUGGGAAUGGAGAUAUUGAAAGAAGAACUCGAAAAUGGUGGGGAAAGAUAGGGGCAAAAGGGCUCCAACGCUCCCCGGCUUGAUUAGAAAUUUCCACUUGGGUUGGGUUUGUGAUGGGGAGAUAAAAAUGUGUGUGAAAUGUAGCAAGCCAUCAUUUAGUUUCCUCAUUGUGUAGUUUCCACUAUGCUAUUUAAAGCCCCAGAAAUUGGUCCAUGUUGAGAUGGUAGCUUAGUUGGAGGAAUUGUAUUUAUGUAUCCAACAAAUUGUUGAUCAAUGAAGGAUUGAUCAUGUAUAGCCUAAUGCUCUUAACAGGUUUUCUGAGAGAUUUCUGAUCUACCCUCUCUUUUGUUUUAUAAUUUUUUUAUUUAUUAACUAGGUUAGGCUGUUUGUAUAUACUGUUAUUAUAGAUGUAAUGAGACAAACUUGGUAGUACCAAGCGUGAAAAUAUGAAAUAAAAUUGUUCAUAUUGGCUGCCUUGCGACUUUAGUCUCUUGUAUGAAACAUCAGCAAAGCAUUAUUCAGAUCAAUUGCAAUCCUGAUCCAUUAGUGUCAGAAAAUUCAUGCACAGUGAGCCUUCGUUUAUUUCAGCAUGAGCAGUUAAGUUAUCUUUCAAGGAGAUUGAAAAUAUUAGUUAUCUUUGAAGAGAUUGCAAAUAUUAUUAUAAAAUAUUUUAAAAGGUAAACUAUAAAACAUUAUUAUAUUAUAUAUUAAAUUUAUUCUAAUGAAUUUAACCCUUGAUAAUAAUUUCCACCAUUAAUGAUCCCAGGUAUUUUAUUUUCUAGAUAAUUUCUUUUAUCUUCGGCAGAAAAUUCCCACAUCAUGUUUCUUUGCCGGUGACUAUCACGUCAUUGAUUUACUUGGAUAUUUGGACCUGCUUUUUUUCUUAUAUAAAUAUAUAUAUAUAUAUACCAUUUGAAAUUCAAAUUCUAAUUGUUCUAUUAAUUUAAAUUCUUCUAAAAUUUUAAUAAGAAGAAAAGAAACUCCUGUCAUCUCAACUCACCUUUAAAAAUGAUCAGCCUCUCUUUUUGAUGGAUAGUCUUUGCUAUGCUACCUAAUAAGAAACAAUACAACCAUGGUAAAGAAGAAGAGCAUCGCCAUAAAAUUAAAAUGUACAUUGGACUCCAACCGACACUCAAGUUUUUAAAUCUGAUAGUACAGGAAAUUUUGAUACCCUAGGUGGUAGAGUUUCCAUUACAAAUCAUCAAUUUAUGAUCCAGGGACAAACUUUGUGGCAUAGACCCAAGCAUUAUUAGCAACUGGGUUGUCAAGGUGGUCCAAAAGGUUCUCCAGGGGACCCUUCCCAGUUACAAUAGCUUGAACAAAGAAACCAAACAUUGAGAACAUGGCUAGCCUUCCAUUCUUGAUCUCCUUCACCUUCAGCUCUGCAAAUGUAACUGGAUCAUCUGCAAGGCCUAGAGGGUCAAAGUACUUGCCGCCGGGGUAAAGAUCAUUGCCCUCUCCCACUCCAGGGAGACCAUUGAUGCGGAAUCCUUCAACAAGUCCCAUUAGGACCACUUGGAAUCCAAGAACUGCAAGGAUGCUUUGUGCAUGGACUAGGUUUGGGUUUCCCAAGUAGUCUAAGCCACCUUCUGAGAAGAUUUGAGCUCCAGCUUUGAACCAUACUGGUUCCUUGAAGUCCACCUUUACCCAUUUCUCAAGUACUUCUGGUGUGAUGCAGCCUAGUGCUCCAAGCAUAGCCCAUCUCCCAUGAAUCACCUAAAAAACGCACAAUAAUUACUUGAAAGGAACAAUUUUUUCUAGGAUUCAUGUCCUCGGAAGAAUUAUUAUCAGCUGCCUAGAUUUUGGAAAAUGCGUUUCAAAAUCAUUCCAUUAAAACAUCUGUAUUUUGUAAAAUCAAAUUGAUUAAUUUUUAUUUUUUUUUAUAAAAGAAAUAAAUAGUUUGAUUUCCUAAAAUAUGAAAACGUUUUAAUUGAAUGAGUAGUGAAUUUACUAAAAAAGACAGAAGUGUUGCGAAGUUGGAUGUUUCAAGGUAGCCAAAUCAUGUAGCAGCAAGGUUCAACAAAGAAGAUAAGGAAGUCAGAAAACUAAGGUUGUAGAUAUAAGACUAACCUCAAGAGCCCUGUUCCUGGCAAAAGCCUCAGGAUCAGCUGACAAACCAGCAGUGUCCCAUCCAUAGUCACCUGGAAAUUCUCCAGUCAGGUAUGAAGGAGUCUGAGCUGAAAAGGGUCCCAAGUACUUCACUCUGUCUGGUCCAUACCACAACUCAUUCCCCUGCCCAAAAUCACACACAAAGCAUCAUCACCAGAACUCAAAACAAUCACACAGAACGAAAGAGACAGAGACACACACAGAGAGAGAGAGUACCAUGAUGUAUUUGCCAUUUCCCAUGGCGACACCAUCUCUGAGAGGAUUAGCAGUUGAACCCUUUUGGCCAAGAAAUGGAGUUGGCCUGAGGAUAGUACUGGAGCUAGCCAUUGAAGCCAUUGAAAGUAGAUAAUUGCAGCCUGGAAAUGUGUAGAAAGGGAAGUGUUGAGUUUAUAUGGCAGGGAAAUUGAGAAUCUCAAAAUGGGUGGCUAAGAAUGCUGGAGAUGGAAGUGGUGGUGGGGAUCUUAGAGGUUCCAAUCAACCAAUCAGGAAGCUGUAAAGGAUUUUAUGUAUCUCCAACUCAUCUCAUUUUAUCCACAUAUUAUCUUGUCUGAGCUUAGACAGUUUUUCACGCGCAUUGCCGGCACUUCUGGUAAUCUCCUGCUUGCGUUUUGAAGACUUGUGGGCUUGGAAUUUGGGGAUUUUUUAUUAUGCUUAAUUAAUAUAUGACUUUUAGUUUUUUAAUAUUUAAAACGAAAAAUUUUACAGGGAAAAUUUGCAAAUAAUUAUACCCUAUUUUAAUGGAAAAAAAAUCUAUAAAUAUAAAAUCAUUACAAACCUCCAUUGUUAAAUUUUAAAAGUUAAAAUUAAAAUAUAUUUGAAAAUAUGAGUAAAACUUUCACAAAUAUUUGUAAGGUAUAUCUUUAAAAUUUUAAUUUUUUAAAUAUUUUUAUCUAAAUUUAUAUAUUAUACUUUUAUUUUAUGUGAAUAAAUGUGGAAUACCAUGUUUUAUUUUAAUUUAGUAAGUAAAUAUGGAAAUAUCAUGUUUCCAACUUCACAUCCAAUAAUCUGUUUAUAUUGUUUUAAAAAAUAGCAAAGGAAAAAAAAUUCCUUUGUAAUUAUUUUUUAAAUCUGUUGAAAUUUACAAUUAUUUUAUUAUUUUUAUUUUUAAUUUACAAUAAUUAAUUAUUAUAAAAUUAAAUAAAGGAAAAAUAAAUUGUAAAAAUUAGAAUACGUUUGAUAAAAAUAAAAAAAAGAAACUAGAAGAAAAUAAGAGAAAAUAUAAUUAAUAUUAUUUUUGUAGUCGAGCCAUAAUAUUAUUUUAUUGUAAUUUAAAGUAAUUUAUUAAUUUAAAGAGACAGCAAAAAAUAUUGAUUCCAAUUAAAACAAAUGGACUUCCCAUAUAUGCAAAUAUUAUUAUAUGGCAAUAACACAUAUUCCUUAGUGAAAGAUAGAUGUGCUCCCUACAGCACAAAAUUUUAAAAUGCUAUAAUAGCAUAUAAAUUAAUUAUUAUAAUUUUAUUUUAUUUUAUUUUAUUUUUUAAUUUUACUUUAUUUAUAAUUAUAUUUCAAUGUUAAUGUUGUAUUUUUUUAAUGAAAUUACCUUAUACAAUAAAUGAAAUAAAAAUAAUGAUAACAUUUAAGAAGAAGAGGCAUUUGGUUGAGUGAGGAUUAAUUUUGUCAAUUUACGUGUCCCAAACAGCUAUUUUGGAUGGAAAGACUACAAAUUUAGACAGAAAAGAAAGUGAGGGACUUAAGUGUUGGGUCGCCAAAAUAGAGAGACAUAAGUGUUAAUUACGUUAAAUUUCAGGGGUUAAAAAGUAAUUUUCCCUUAAGAUUUACUUUGUCCUAACCAAACGGAAACUUUAAUAUUUUUCUUCGGCCCGACAUUUUGGGCCGAGCGGGCUCAACUUGUCAAAUCAACGGGAAAAUAAACGAAACAAGUGCCGCAGUAUAUUUAUUUUCAAUUUUAGAAUCGAUAGUGUGAUUUUAUCCUAAUUUUUAUACUAUAAUAAUUAAAUAAUAAAAUAUUUAAUGAUUAAAAUUUUAAAAAUUAUUAAUAAGUUUAUUAAAAUAUUAAAUAUGUUUUAAUAAAUUUUUUAAAAUUGAUAAAUUUUUGAAAUUAAAUAAUAAAUUUUUUUAAUAAUAAUAAUAACAAAACCCAUAGUUUUAUGUAUAUAAAAAAAAUUAGAGAGAGAUUUUGUUGGGUUUCUAAGACGAAAAUACACAACAAACAUAUGGCAGUGAGCAGUGAAGAAGGCAAAUGUGGUUUGGCAAAGGACAUGUUUGGUGAUAUGAAUUGGGAUACGUAUAAGAAGGUGUCAUAAUUGAUGAACAACCAAACAAAAAGGACGAAACUCCAUGGAAGCUGUGUUCUUCCAUCUUUAUUCACUACGCUUUUGAAUUCAGACCCACACUGUGCUUCUUGUCCCUUUCCUCCGUUCUUACGCUGCUUCCUACUUCUGUUGUCUUCAUUUCUCUCCUUGCAGUUUCCUAAAAUAUCGUUUUAUACAUGUUAUCAUACGCUCAAUCCUAUAUUAAAUUCGUUAGAUGUCAUUUUUAUUAAGGGUAAGCAUCAUUCUAUUUGAAUAAAAAAUAUAUAUCGAAUUUAUUUAAAAAUAUAUAUUGAAUCAAAAUAGGAGUGUAAACGAACUAAACUGUUCGUGAGAUAUUUGAGUUUCGGCUUGAUAAAAGUUCGAUUGAGAGAAAACGAGUUGAGUUCAAUCUCACUUUUUAGCCUCGUUUAAUAAACGAGCCGAGUUUGAACUUAGCAGUAUUCGGCUCGUUUAGACUCGCGAGCUCGGCUCGUUUUCAAAUUUAUGAACAAGUUUGGGAGCCAACUCGUGAACAGGUUCGCGAAAAAAUUCUUGAGUAGGCUCGCGAACAAUCUCGUGAGCAAUCUCGUGAGCCAACACCAAUCCUAUAUCGAAAGUUGAAAUGAUAUCAACUCUUCUAUAUUCUUUUUUAUUAGUUUUGGGUUCGUGAAACUUCAAUUAAAUAAAAAAAAUUUAAUUUAAAAGUAUCUUAAUAACCUUAUAAUUUAAAUUUAUUUAUAAUUUAAAUAAAUUUGAAUUAUAUUGAGAUUGUUUAUAAUAUAAUCGAACUCAAAUUCAAGUCUAAAUGAGUUCAAAUUUGAGUUUUUUUAAUGGAGUCUGAAUUGUUCCAUUAAUGUGAUAAACUAACUUAUUAUGAAUGAAACUCGAAUGGAAGUUGAGUUUAAUAUUUAUUUUAUAAAUUGAGCUCGAGUUUAUAAAUGAAACUCGAGUCAAGCUCGAAUUCGAAUUCGAACUCGAACUUUUAAAUUUAUUUUCUAAUCGAGUUUGAGUGUAACGGUAUGAAUGAAUCUCGAACGGAAGUUGAGUUUAAUAUUUAUUUUAUAAAUUGAGUUUGAGCUUAUAAAUGAAAUUCGAGUCGAGUUCGAACUCGAACUCGAACUCGAACUCAAACUUUUAAAUUUAUUUUCUAAUGGAGUUUGAAUGUAACGGUCAGCUGACUGCUUGUGGAAAAUCAUCCCACAUCAGCAGAUUAUAAAAAUUUUGAAUUGUAUAUAAUAGCUAGCACGAAACUAUUAAAUAAUUUGGAUUAACUAUUUUGGGUCAACCAUUUUGGGUCAAGUAGAAAGUGAGUUUAAAAAUUAUUUGGACCAAUUUUGACCGGACUGUUUUAAUUGGUAUCAGAGCUAUCUUGGAUUAUAAAAAUCAUGUGGAGCUAGUGGGUCUGCGAGAAAAGGGUUACCCGUGCGAGAUGAGGUGGAACCGUCCGAGAUACUAGCGAACCACAAUACCCGAUGAUCCGGUCCUAAUUUAGCAAUUGUAUCUGAUUUAGUUGCGAUGAGAACAUCGCAAAUUUAGUAGGAGUACCACAAUACCUGAGAAUCCGAUCCUGAUUUAGCAAUUGUAUCAGAUUCAGUUGCGAUGAGAAUGUCGCAAAUUUAACAGGGACGAGUGUGACGUUCACCUGCUAGCUUGUGUAUUCCGUUUCAUAUCGGCGAAAUACCACAAUUCUAAAUUGUAUAUAAUAGUUAGUACGAAACUAUUAAAUAACUUGAGUUAACCAAUUUGGUAAAGUGGAAAGUGAGUCUAAAAGUUAUUUGGACUAGUUUGGAUCCGACUGUUUCAAUUGAUAUCAGAGCCAGUAAGACAAAUUGUGUAGAGUUAGUGGGUCUGUAAGGAAAGGGCUACCCAUAUGAGAUAAGGUGGAACCGCCCGAGGUAUUAGCAAACCACAAUAUCCAAGAGUUUAGUCCUGAUUUAACAAUUGUAUUCAAUUCAGUUACGACAGAGACGUUGUAAAUUUAGCGAAAUCGAAUGUAACGGUCAGCUGCCUGCCUGUGAGAAAUCGUUCGCAGAUUACAAUAAUUUCGAAUUAUAUAUAAUAGUCCGUACGAAAUUUAAAUUAACUAUUUUGAAGUAAAAAAUGAAUUCAAAAAUUAUUUGUGACAAUUUAAAUCUAGCUAUUUUAUUCAACUUAUUAAAAUUCGGUUUGACUUGGUUCCGUUGAAUUAUAACUCUAAAUCAAAAUAAUUUAGAAUUUUAACUUGAUUCUGAAAUAUAAAUAGUUCUUUCGGUUUUAAAGUUUGAUAAUUUUAAUCUGAUUGAUUUGAUUUUAAUAAAAAAUUUUGGAUAAAAUCAAACCAAAUCUAAUAUUAAAUUUAAAUAACUGAUUAUUUGGUCCAGUUUUAAUAGUUUUGGGCUUUGAAUGAUUAGUUAAACAUUAUUGUACAAUUAACUGAUUUCAAAAGGGGCCUUUAUUGUGUGUACUAAGAUGGAGCCCACAUCAGAGCAGAGGAGAGGGCGUGUCGACUUCUGAUUUCUUGAAUCUGCUUUAAUUUUUGCCCUUUUGUGGUGGUACGUGUGCUCGUACUUUCAGCCAUGUGAAGAUUUUAUCGUUAUAACAAUUACUUUUAACGUUUGUAGGUGUUUUCUUAAAUAGAGAUUACGGUAAAAUCUAAAAUUUUUUAGAUUGAUUUAAAUAUAUUUAUUAUUAAAUUAAAUUUAUGAAUAUAAAAUUACGUAUUUUAUUUUUGAUUAAGAAGAAGUCUAAUUUCAGAAUUUUUCAAAAUUCAGCAAAGCAAGGGUGUAUUGAUAGUUUCACUACAUGAGUACGAAGCAAGCACUUCCACAAAAUGUGCUUUUGAUAUUAUUCUUAAAUCUAUAUUAUAUAUGAUUGAAUAAUUUGAUUCUUAUUCUGUCAUUUUCUGGGGAUUGGCAGCAAUCGUUCAAGACAAAAAGGAUAUGUUAUCUGUUCUUCCGUUGAUGUCCAUUCAGUUGAUUUCUCUCGGAAAGGAUGUAGCUGCUAAGAAAAAGCUGUUGCCUUUGAGCUUGUUAAUUGAUUAGGUAUAAAGAAGCAUCUUUGGGUUCUGAUAUCAUGGCCUUGUAUUCCUUGGUUUGUCUUCAACCAAAUCUCAUUUCUCAUUUAGAAAAAAAAAAAAAGUAUGGACUUGACUGAGUCAGUGCCUUCAUCCACUCAAUUGAUAUGAACUGGUAUAUCAAAUGAAUAAUAUUUAAAUAAGUAAUUAAAAUAAUUUAAAUUAAAUUAAAUUUCUAAUGUAAAUAUAAUUUUUAAUGAUAAUAUUAAUUUAAUGAAUAAUUUUAUGUGUUAACUUAACACGAUGAAGUGAUAUGUCUAGAAUAAUCAAUAAUUUUUAAAAUCGCUAAAGUAAUGAUAUGCUGAUCAUAAUCUUUGGAAUCGUUAAAGUGAUGGUGAUGCUGAUUUGAUGGGCCACCUUAGUAAUUUACUUGUCAUUAUUUGUCCAUUAUUGCAAUGAGAUUACUCGCAUCAAACACAUUAACAUCUUCGUAAAAGAAAGAUAUGAACAUUUCCUCCUCUAAUUUUCUUUUUUUAAUUCUCAUAUUGUGGUUUAAUUAAUUUAAUUAGCUACUAUUAAUGCUGAAACGUCCCACAUAAAAAAAUUAUAGGGAACGGAAAUUAUAAAUUGUAUAUAAUAAUUAAAUAUAAAAUUAUUAAAUAAUUUAAAUUAAUUAUUUUAAAUUAAAUAAAAAAUAAAUUUAAAAAUUAUUUAAAUUAAUUGAAUAAUUGAAUAAAUGACAAAAUAGCUAUUGGUUCAAUUAGAUUUAAUAUCUAACUUUUUAUUUUUUUUUUUUUAAAAUUGUAACUAUUCCGUGUGUGCAUGCAUUUAAAUUAGAUAUUUUUAUUCAGAUCAAUUUUUAUUUUUAAAAAUUUCAGUUAUUUUGAUUUGUUUUAAUUUUAAUAAUAAAAAUUAUAAAUUAAAAAAUCGAUUAGUAAAUAGUAAUAUAUUAUUUUUUAUAAUAUAGGGAGAUUAAAUUAUAAUAAAAUUGAAAUAACUUUUUUAAAACACUAAAAAUAAAAUGUAAAAAAUAAAAAUUUCACUAAAAAUCUAACUAAUCAAAUUAAAUAAGACCAAUUUAAUUUAAUUUAAUUUCUAUUCAAAAUCAAUUUAAUUUUUAUAAAUAUCAAAAUUUUAUUUAAAUCAGACUAAUUCAAUUUAAUUUAAUUUCUAUUUAAAAUCAAUUUAGUUUUUAUAAAUAUUAAAAUUUUAUUUUUCUAUUUAUUCGGUUCUUUUAAACUAAACCGACCGAAUACUCACUCCUGAAUAUAUGUUUUAUUAAUUAAAUUUAUUUUUUAAAAAAACAUGAAAUAUCAUAUUUGAGUUUUAUGUUAUAAAAUAACAGAUUAUCAGUGACGGAAAUUUCCAUCGCUGAUAAUGCAAAAUCUUUCAAUGAAACUUUUAGUGACGAAUUUUCGACAGUCCAAAAUCAAUCAUUUAAAGUUUUAUUUGAAAACUGAUUCAAAAUAUUACACUUUAAUUCUAAAUACUUUAUACAAAUUGAGAUCUGAAAAUUUAUGCAAACCAGACCAAGUCAUGAAUCUUGUUUUUUAUUAUUUGAUUCAAGAUAUAAGAGCAUUCUUUUAAUAAAGUCUCACAUUACUUUUGAUAGAAGACCUAAGAUGAUUGUCUGUUUUUUUUACAACCGAUUAUAUCUUGUGAUUGAGUGAAUUUAGGAUGUUAAAUUAGAAAGUGAUGAUUCUACGGAUAUAAAAAAUUAUCUUAGCAUUUGAUCAGAACAUGGGGAUAUAAGAAAUUAAAUUGCAGUAGAUGUACAUUUCGCACUUGAAAAAAUUAUUCAAGCAACAAAAUAGAAAAUACUAUGCUUGCAUGUUCGUCCAUAGAUCAAAUUAGAUAUGUAAUUAUUGAAAUAAAUGUUGAAAACUCUAAUAAUGGAUAUACAAAUAUGAUAACUUAUAUACUUUUCUAUAUCUCCAUGAAUCUAGAAAUUUUUACUUGUAUUAUAUUAUUUAGUUUACGUAUCGGAACUGAUAACAUUCGAGAUUAUACAAGAUUAUACACGAAAGAUCUUUUUUUGAAUAUUUCUUUAGCCCUAUAUCUCUUAUCCCUAGAAGGUCUUCUUCUACUGGUAGGUUUUUUUCGAAAAACUCCAUUUAUUCUGGUGUGAACUUACGAGUGUUAUUUCCAUCUACUAUUAUCUAAAAAUAAUAAGUUAUUAAUGACGGGACAAAACAAAGAAAUAACCCCUCACAUGUAAAAUUAUAAAAGAUUCCUUUAAAAUCAAAUAAUUUCAUCAAAUUGAAUAUAAUUGUAUGUAUAAUAGCAUCUAAAUAUCAACCUUAUAACACUAACAUAUAAAGGGUGGUAAAACAAGUAGUGACGAGAGGCGACCUUAACUCUUUUUAUUAACCACUUGUCACUUAUAGCGACGACAGCUACGAGUGGUGAUGAGAGGAGAGGAGUCUAGCUCAAGCGUUGCAAAGAGAAGAGGAGUUGAUCUUGGGCAUGGCUACAAGUCAGCGUCAGGGUCGCAAAAUUGGUACAAUGACAGAAAUCUCAUGGGAGAGAGUGAGAAUAUGCAACAGCGAGAGUUGAAAUUUUAGAAAAAAAAAUAUUAAGAGCUUUUUUUAAUUAUUUUUUGUUGAAACAAAAUCCGCUGUAAAUAUUCAAUUUUUUUAGUGUUAAUUAUUAGAAAUGGCAACAGUUCGAAUAUUUUUGGUAUCGAUUUGACUGAAUUCUAAUAAAAUGAAUUUAAGUAUUUAUAAUUAAGUUUGGGACGAAUUUUAAUUUAAAAAAUAAUAUCAGUCGUAAAUUCAGAUGGAAUUUGAAUUUUAUAUAUAAAAUAUUUAAUUAUAUAUAUAAUUAUUUUAGUAUAAAAAAUAUAUUUUACAAUAAUAUUUAUAAAGUUUUAUAUAUUUUUUAUUUUAAAAAUAUUAAAUUUUUUAAAUAAAAAUUAUUAAUAAAAAAUAUUAUAUAUAUAAAUUAUUAAUUAAAAUAUAUAAGACUAAAUGAAUUCGAAUAAUAAUAAUACGAAUCCAGAUAGUUUAAAUUAAUUUUUAAUUGAAUUCAAAAUGAGUUUAAAUAUUACUAAUAUAAAUAAAAUUUAAAUUCAGAUAAUUUAAUUUUCACGAGUAAUCUAUCUUAUUAAUUACACUAACAAAUAUUUUCUAUUAUCAGAUAAUUAAUAACAUUCAUGGAGGCAGAGUUGUAUUGAAAAUAUAAAUAAUAAAAAUUCAAAACAUAACUGCUUAGUUAUAAUAUUAAAUUAACUUUUCAUAUUUUGAUGUAUAAAAAUCCAAUUGUUUAUAUAUAAUUAAGUUCAUAUAAAAAUGAUUGGUCAGUAAGAUAUAUAAAAUACUAUAUGAAUUUAAUCCCAGUCAGAAUUAAUUAUAAAAAACACAUUACAUAAAUUUAAUAUGAUUGGAUGGUAGGUUUUAAUUAGCCACUAUAUAAUUGGCUAAUAUUUAAUUAAUAUCAAUUAAUGUCAAGUGAGUUGGAUAAAAAGUUUCAAAUUGGAAAUGCAAAUGAAAUGUUGUCUUUCAUAUUGAAUUGCCUUAAUCAUUUUACUAAAAACAAUUAAUCUCUAAUUUCUCCCUGUUUAACAAGAGCGGAUGAUGGCAAUUGAAAGGGCAAUCUGGUACAUUUAAAAAGUCGUACGUUCAAAAUUCACCAAGUUCAGUACAAGCCUCUGAAAAAAAAAACAUAAAAAAUCCUUUACAUAUAGCACUCUCCAAACAUUAGGACAACACCCACCCCCACAAACUUCCCUUGUCCACCAAAUACUUCUCUCUCUUUCUCAUGGCUACUGAUCAUCAAGAAAUCACACGUGCAUCGCACAUGCAUGAUUUCACAGACGAGGAUAGCCAAAAUGGAGGAAUAGAAGAAGAGAUAGAAGAUGAGGAGGAAGAAAGCACACGGGAUUACAUAAGUACGCUUUUCAAGGGUGGUGGCCAUGGUGGGAGUGGUGGCGGCGGUGGUGGAGGUUCUCGACGAAAAGGGUGGUCUUUAGGGCAAAUGUUGGACCCUAAAGCUAGAUGGAUUCAAGAAUGGAAUAGGGUUUUUCUUCUAGUGUGCGCCACUGGACUUUUUGUGGAUCCUCUCUUCUUCUACUCUCUGUCUGUUAGCGAUACCUGUAUGUGUCUCUUCAUCGACGGGUGGUUUGCUAUCAUGGUAACGGCUCUCCGGUGCAUGACUGACGCCUUGCACGUGUGGAACAUGUGGUUGCAGCUCAAAAUGGACAAGAAACUAUCUACUGGCGGCGGUAGUACCAAUGAAACUAGCGGUGGACCACGCUUGACAAGCCCUAGAUCAAUGGCCCUGAGGUAUCUCAAGGGAAAGAGAGGAUUUUUCUUUGAUCUGUUUGUCAUCCUCCCCCUUCCCCAGGUGAGAUUUUAUUUUCCCUUAAAACCCCAUUAAUGAUAAUUAAGAAUCAUGAUCACUAAUUAUCAUUAUAAUCAUCAGAGAUCAGCAUCAACUUCUUAAACACAUUCACAUUUUUGGUUAAGGAUUUUUUUGUCAGUGAUUUUGAGAAGGUGACAGAUUUAUGCAUGCAGGAUAUCUCCAUGGAGUGCAGAGCCUCCAUGUGAUUUAGCUAAUAGCAAUGUCCUUUGUUCAUGUAGCAAAGGGAAAAAUGAGAAAUAUAGAAACCAAACAAUGAUUUCCUGUAUAGUAUGCCUUGUCUUUUCUCUUUAUUAAACUGAUUGGAGUUUUUUUGUUAUUAAAUUUAUUUAUUUAUUAUUUCCUUUAAGAAUAGGGCUAGAUAUAAGACUAAUGGGACUAAUUUUGCCUGUUAACGUUUCGCACAUAAUCAUGAGUAGCUGGAAUUCGGACAAGUUAGAUGCAUUGUGUAUAUAUGGAAAAUUUUUCACAUCAACCAAUAAAAUAUUAAUAUCUCAGAAUAUUAGGUGGACUUAUUAUAAUUUUGAAUAGUAUUCGUCAUGCUUUCAAAUAAUAUUAAAUGGCCCCAAUUACACUUACCAUAUAUUUUUAUUCACAUAAUAUUUCAAAUAAUAUAUAUAUUUUUUUAAUUUUAUUCACAUAAUAUAUAUAUAGCAGGAUAAAACCAGUUAGAAGCUAGAAUGGUUUAAGGUAAAAUUAGAAUGAAAUUGAAAUUUAUUUAAAUUAUUUAGCUUGAUUUAAAUUGAAUUUUAAAAACUGGAAUUGAAUCAAAAUCAAAUUUAUGGUCUAGUUCUCAUAUAUCCACCAUUCUUGAAACUAUAUUGCCAUUCUAAGUUGAAAUAAAUUCAAAACUUAAAUUUCGAAUUUGAGGAUGAGAGACUAAUCUAAAAAUUAGAUGUUUGAAAAAAAGUAAAUUUAAUGUUAAAUUAAUUUUUCGAUGUAUUAUAACUUUAACAUAUAUUUUAGAAGAGUUUUUUAAAAUAUUAAUUUUAACAAUUAUACUAAAUAAAUUUAGAAAUUAUCAGGAGAUGUGGAACAAUAAUAUUAAUUCCUUAAUCUUUAUGCAAAAUGAAGUGUCAUGAUAUGUCAGAUAUAUAAUAUCAAGAAUUAAAAUAUAAAAAUUUUUUUACUCUCUUCUGUAUUACAUAGCUAAUUUUUUUUAUGAAUUAUAUUUUUUGUGGUUGAAUCUUUACAGUCUUUAAGUAUUAUAUUGAUGCAAUAUAUAUUUUAGUUCUUGAACAAAAGCAAUCCAAUUAAAAUGGCAGAUAGUGCUAUGGGUGGCAAUUCCUUCCUUAUUGGAGAAAGGUUCAGUGACAGCAGUGAUGACCAUAUUCUUGAUCAUAUUCCUCUUCCAAUAUCUUCCAAAGAUCUACCACUCCGUUUGCCUCCUUCGUCGCAUGCAAAAUCUCUCUGGUUACAUUUUUGGAACUGUUUGGUGGGGAAUUGCCCUCAACAUGAUUGCAUACUUCGUUGCCUCCCAUGUAAGCUCACUUCUUUCUCUCUCUCUCUCUCUCUCCUUUCAGAUGCCAAGUCUUUUUUUCGCAAUUGGGUUCUGGAGAUUCUCCAAGUUCCUGAUCCCUAGCUCUCUCUGGAAAUGUUACAGGCAGCAGGUGCAUGUUGGUACUUACUAGGGAUCCAAAGGGCAGCAAAAUGCAUGAAAGAACAAUGCAGAGAAACACACGGUUGUGGGCUGAGGUUAUUAUCUUGUAGAGAAACUAUUUACUAUGGAACAACAAGAAAUGUGAGAGAUGGAGCAAGAUUAGCAUGGGCAGACAAUAAGUUAGCCAGGGCUACAUGCUUAGACAGCAGUGAUAAUUAUGACUAUGGAGCUUAUAAAUGGACUGUUCAACUCGUCACCAACAAUAGCAGAUUAGAGAAAAUACUCUUUCCUAUCUUCUGGGGCCUAAUGACUCUCAGGUACUAUUUUCAUUUUAUCUUUUUUCUCUGAAGGAAAACAAAUAAAUAAGAUUAGCAUUUUUAACUCUUAGUGCAUGAUCAGCACUUUUGGAAACCUGGAGUGCACAACAGAAUGGUUGGAAGUUGUUUUCAACAUCAUUGUUCUUACAAGUGGACUCAUUUUGGUCACCAUGUUGAUUGGAAACAUCAAGGUAAUAAUAAUUUUUUAUUGGGUUCCAAGCUGAUGUGGAUGCCGCCUCUUUUUUUCUUCUCAAUCUUUUAAUUGUGUUGUUUUGGGCAUGAAGGUUUUCUUGCAUGCAACAACAUCAAAAAAGCAAGCAAUGCAGUUGAAAAUGAGGAAUAUAGAGUGGUGGAUGAGGAAGAGACGCAUGCCUCAAGAAUUCAGGCACCGUGUUCGAAACUAUGAGCGGCAGCGGUGGGCAGCAAUGCGAGGCGUCGAUGAAUGUGAGAUGAUCAGGAACCUCCCUGAGGGACUUAGGAGGGAUAUCAAAUAUCAUCUCUGCCUGGAUUUAGUAAGGCAGGUAAUUGUUCCACCAUUUCACCAUCAAUUUUUAACCUCCUAGGCCCUUUUCUGUCUCCAGCACAAUUCCCAUCUUUCACAAUGCAAGCCCAAUUGCAAAUUUCUAGCCCAAUUGCAAUGGGUCUGUAUAUGCAAGCAUAAAUUUCAACCUCUUAAAUCUGUAUCAGGUCCCGCUUUUCCAACAUAUGGAUGAUCUGGUCCUCGAGAACAUUUGCGACCGUGUGAAGUCUCUCGUUUUCACAAAAGGAGAAACAGUAAGUUCCAUAAUGUCACCGAGUUUUAGCGUAAGAGUUUAUUGUAAUGUUAGGCAUCUAAGUGUUGUUGCAGAUAACUAGAGAAGGAGACCCUGUCCAAAGAAUGCUAUUUGUGGUGAGGGGUCAUCUCCAGAGCAGCCAAGUUCUGAGAGAUGGCGUCAGGAGUUGCUGCAUGUUAGGUCCUGGGAAUUUCAGUGGCGACGAGCUAUUGUCCUGGUGCCUAAGAAGACCCUUUAUAGAACGUUUACCACCAUCUUCAUCGACACUAGUGACCCUAGAGACAACAGAGGCAUUUGGGCUGGAAGCUGAAGAUGUGAAAUAUGUGACCCAACAUUUCAGGUACACAUUUGUUAAUGAAAGAGUGAAGAGAAGUGCGAGAUACUAUUCACCAGGAUGGAGAACUUGGGCAGCUGUGGCAAUUCAAUUGGCUUGGAGAAGGUAUAAGCAUCGUUUGACGCUUACUUCAUUGUCGUUUAUAAGGCCAAGAAGACCUUUAUCUCGCUGCUCUUCCUUGGGGGAGGAGAGGCUCAGGCUUUAUACAGCUUUGUUAACUUCACCCAAGCCAAAUCGGGAUGAUCUUGACUUUUGAAAGCAGAAAAUAAGAAAAUUUGCUCAUGUAUGGAUAUUUCAGAAGGCAAAUUAAGAGUAACAAUGAUGAAAAUUUCUUUAAAUUUCCAUUUUUGUUUUCUAACUAGUUAGAUGAAACAGAUUACAAGAAAAAGCAGAAUUGUUUUCUAAGGAAACAAACAUUACGCAGUCACAGUAUCCAAGGCCUCCAAGUCUGUAAAUUGAUUAGCCUCAUCAAGUUCAGGAGCAGCAGAUCCCCUGAAUAACAAAAUUGCGAGGCUGCCAAUCUGAAAAUAAAUAAAACAUCCACAGCAGUGGGUCACAAAAGAAGCAAAAUCUGUUCCCACAAUGCAUUGCCAUCCAGCUCCAUAUGAAGUAUCAAAUUGCUGCAUCAAGAACAACCCAAAAAAAUUUCAGCAUUUUACAUUACAAAAGAUAAAAUAAAUCUUAUUAUAUUAGAAAUAAACUUAUGAGUUAAAAUUUUACCUUCUUAAUGAAACGAGCAAUCUCAGUAGCCUCAGUGACAUCAAAGAAAUCGAGGGCUUUGGCUGCAAGAUCAAGAGCAUCUUGUUGCAUGGUUUGAAGCAUAUCACUCUCACCAACAACUGCCUUGCCCUCUAGCAUGGCUAGCUAAUGAGAUUUAAUUUCUCGAAGGGAGCUGUUGGUGGCCAAGAAGCAAACUGUUUGAUAAUUUUUGGAAGCCGGAUUAGUUAGUUACUUCUUGUGGAUGAAGUUUAUACCCAGUUAGGGAAUAUAAGGGCUGGUGCUGGUGGGUCAGCCACCUUUGUGGCGGUAUGGAAUUAUGCGAUUGAAGAAUUUGAUACUCUGAUAGCAAAUGGUUGAAAAAUUCCAGUAUUGUUAUCUUGUGCAGCAUAUGUGAGGUCUGGGGCCUGGAGGGAGGGUGUUACUAGAGGAGGAGGGAGGUCUGCUGCUAAGUAACAAAGAUUUUUGGCCCCCUUAUUAUCUUUGACGCCUGGUUCGUUUUUGGUGGUUUAUCUAUAGAAUUUCGCCACGUGUCAGCAGGCAACUUGCGAUUUCUUGUCCACUCCAAGUGUGGUCUGGAUUCUGUAGGAUUGGAGGGUAGGAAUACAUUGACAAAUUCGCUGAUAUCACUUAUAUUAAUUUAUUUUUCUUGAUUUAUAAAGAGUAUGAGGGAGCACAUGCGUUAAAUAAUUUCUUUUUUUAUAUGAUAAUUUAUUAUUAAAUAAAUAUUUUAAUUAAGCAGGUCUAAAGUAUUAUAACUACAAAUAAUUUUCUUUUUCUUUUUCCAAAUUUUUUUUUUACUUUUUGAAGUUGUAAUUGCCUUGUGAUAUUUCAUAUAUGUAAUAUGUUUAUUGCUGAGAUGGUCUAUAAUUUUUGGUAAAGAAGACAAAGUGGACUGAUUUUUGGGUAAUUGAUGUUUCAAAAAACUCUCUAGGUGUGGGGGUUUGCUGCAUGAGUUUUCAUAAUCAGUCGAGGAAAACAUGACACUUGCUAAUGUCAUGGAACUACGUAGAAAGACGGAACUCUCCAACUAUUGUGGAGAUUCUUUUUUUUUUUUUUUUUUUUCCGGAAGACGAGAGUUUUUCAUUGAUAAAAGAAGACUGUUUGUGUAAGGAAAAAGGGAUAAGGUCCAAGAUCUCUAGGCCCAAUAAAAAAUAAAAACAACCUCCUGAAGCCCAUCCUAAGAAAAUCUGUUGAUAAUUUUAAUAGAUUAGAAAAACAUUUUUAAUUUAAACGGGAGUUUUGUUUUUACUUUUAGAUUAAUUUGUUUUGAUUUAAGUUUUAUUUUUACUUUUAGAUUAAUUACUGUCCUCCUCUCUUCUUCUUUCUCACUAAAAAUUAAAAUAAUUAAACUACCAUCUAAACUUAGAAACAACACAUAUAUUCAGAUCCCAACAAACCAUCCCUUCUCCUUUCCUUCAUUUUCUCUCCACCGUCGACUACCCGAUCUUGGAUUCAUUUCCCGUCAUUCUUCUUUUCUCAUCCAUUUCUAUCUUUAUUAACUCUUUCUUCUCCUUUUUUUUCUUUAUUUAAUUCUCUCCCAUUUGCCUUCCUCCGCCCUGUGUUGUGAUUUAUCCUUUUCUUUUUCCUUUUUCUGAGGCAGCGAGACGGGGUUCUGCUCCAGCAGAAUGAAGCCGCGUCUCUUUGCCUGCUUUGGCAAGUGCAACUGCUCCUCAUUCUCCUCCGUCUAUCACGUGCAUGAAAAGGGGAAUAGCAACGGGACAGCAGAUGCUUCACCGGAGGAGCAGCGACGUGCUGGUGCCAUAUUGGUGGAGCUAUUCUCAUCACAGGGUUGUAAGACUUCGCCGGAGGGUGAGUUAUUGGUGUCAAGGCUAGGGAGAGGAGACUUUGCCCUUGAAUCGCCAGUCAUAGUGUUGGCAUUUCACGUUGAUUAUUGGGACUACAUGGGGUGGAAGGAUCCUUAUGGCUCUAGCCAAUGGACUGUUAGGCAAAAAACUUACGUUGAGGCUUUGAACCUUGACACCAUGUUUACACCUCAAGUUGUUGUCCAGGGUAGGACUCAGUGUGUGGCCAAUGAAGAGGAAGCUCUUUUGUCUUCCAUCAUGAGUGCACAAAAAUUUCCUUCACCCAACUUUCAGGUAUCUUUCCCUUUUUCUUUCAGGCAAAUUCUUAGUCCAUUAGGACAGACAUUGAAGUGGGCCACAUCAAGUAUUUAGGAUUCUGGCAAUAUAUUUUUCCAGGCUUUUUGUUGACAAUUGACAAGUUUGCUUUAACAGGUAACCUUCCAGAGGCCAACGUCAGAAUCCUUGCAAGUAAAUUUAACAGGAACUUUAAGGACUAAAAUUGACAACAAAGGGGCCAAUAUAAUGGUGGCUCUCUAUGAGAGUGGAUUGGUGAACGAUUGCCCGGCAGGGGAGAACAUAGGGCUUGUCUUGUCUAAUGACUACGUGGUUCGAAAGCUUGAAAAGCUCUGCACUGUCAAGGACAUAUCUGCCAAGAAGACAGUUUCAGGAACUGUUGAUUUUUCCGUUUGGGAAGGCUUCAAUAGCAGUAAAUGUGGUAUUGCUGUUUUUAUUCAAGAUAACUCCCAUCAAAUUUUUGGUUCACAGAACUUCCACUUGCCAGAUAAUAUAUGAGCAUUCAGAUUCAUUUCAUUUGUUGAAGAACUAAAUGUACUCUGGCUUAAAUCUUAGGCAUCAAUUUUCUAUUUUUCUUUCCUUUCCUUUUUUAAAAUUUUCUUUCUCAAUGGUUUUAUAUGGUAGGAGAUGUAGAGAGACAUUUUACACUUCAAUCAUAUGAAUUUCUUUCACAGCUGUGGAUUUCACUAGCAAUGCCUCUAUGGAAUUAAUGGUAAUGGAUCUUCAUAUUCAAAUUUCAGUGUUUAGAUCUGAUUAUGUGAUCAUGUUUCAAACUCAACGUCACUAGAUUAAUUAAGCAGAACGUAAUCCACACUGCAAAAUGUCAAGUGUUUUUGUUUUAUUCUGCUUCGGGAAAACUUAGUAUGUCUUUGCAGAGAGAGCUUUUGGGAUGUGCUAGUGUCUUCCUCUGUUGGUCUUUUAAGCAUUUCCAUCUGAAUUUGGGUCAGCUCAUCCUCAAAUUUUUUUCUAUAUCUUGGUUCUUAUUGUGAUGCUUUGUUGCACCUAAAGAACUUGCGAGGAGUUUUAACUUGAAUCGUUGAUGACCAAAUUGCAGUCUUCUGCAGAAGAAGAGGAACUCAUGUGAGAUCACAUGUAGUAAGGGAAAAAAAUCAAAAAGAUUCCGUUGCCGGGAAUCGAACCCGGGUCUUUCGGGUGAGAGCCGAAUAUCCUAACCAACUAGACUACAACGGAUUUCUGAACAAAUUUCUAAAACAACAAAUAUGUCAGGGAGGAUUAGGUAAAGUAGCAUAGCUAUUAUAAAUUUAUUGUUUGUUUGAUAAAGUAACCUAGAUUAAAUCAAAACCAUGAGUGAUUGAAUCUUUGAGCCAAAUCUUAAAAGGGCCCCAGUAAAAUUGCACAGGUGGAAGAUGGGUAGAACCUAGAGGAAGUGCUUAUACCUUUUAUAAAGUUGGGAUAAGGGUAACAAAUUCAAGUCUGUUUUACAUUAAUGUCAAAAUGGUUAUUUAAGAAAAAAAUGGAUUAUAUAAAUUAAAUUUAAAAUAUUUUAAUGACAAAAUAUUCAAAUAAAUAUUAAAAGUUUUUAGUGUCCUUAUAGAGAGAAAUAUAAAAAAUACUGGAUUAAAAUAUAGAGAAAGAAGAAAAAAUAGAGAAAGAGAAUGAUAAAGAAAAAGAGAAGACAAUUCCGGUGUUAGAGUUGCUUUCCCUUGGCGAGUGGCGACUUCCCUACUCAUAAUUUUUUGGUAGUUAUAGUUUUAUUUUGGAAUUUUGGAUUUGCUAUAACAUAAAAUUUUAUCUUUAUUUUUAGUUAGUAUUUCUUUUCUAUUUUCAAUGGCUGGCGAUUUUAUUUCAUGCAGAUGGUAUCGUUGGCUGCUUUAUUUAGCAGUUAUCGAAAUAAGGAUUGACCAGUAAUAAUUGAAGCUAGAAUUUAGUAUUUAGCUUUUUGAAGUGACUCCAUAGUGUUAUGAGACUGAAAAUACUAUGGAUUGAUAUGAUUUCUUGUGAUCAUUGAUGGGUGAGAGCAGUUAUGUUGGGUAAUUAUUUCUGUUUGCAUGAUUAUUUCUUUGUCCGGUUAUCUCUUUUUGAAACAUUUUACUUUGUGUCUUUACUUUGUAUUUUUCUGAAUUGCGGUCGCUUUGCUUUGCUUGGGUGGUGGACAAUGAAAAUGCGACGAGAAUGAUUAGGAAGUUUUUUUUGCUGAUUAAUCGUUCAUUGAUUGUUUUGAUCAGUGCAGUGAACAGAGACUUUAAUUGCUGAGUCUUCUAAUUGUUUUUAAAAUAUCGGUACCAUUUGAUUUUUGGGCUGAACCAUAUCAGUUGUCUGGAUUUCUAUUAAUUUCUUUUGAUUUGGGAUCUUUGGGUUGGCAUUCUACUCUUUACUCUUAGAGCAUUUUAAAUGCAAUUUUCUUGCAUUAAAAAAAAANNNNNNNNNNNNNNNNNNNNNNNNNNNNNNNNNNNNNNNNNNNNNNNNNNNNNNNNNNNNNNNNNNNNNNNNNNNNNNNNNNNNNNNNNNNNNNNNNNNNNNNNNNNNNNNNNNNNNNNNNNNNNNNNNNNNNNNNNNNNNNNNNNNNNNNNNNNNNNNNNNNNNNNNNNNNNNNNNNNNNNNNNNNNNNNNNNNNNNNNNNNNNNNNNNNNNNNNNNNNNNNNNNNNNNNNNNNNNNNNNNNNNNNNNNNNNNNNNNNNNNNNNNNNNNNNNNNNNNNNNNNNNNNNNNNNNNNNNNNNNNNNNNNNNNNNNNNNNNNNNNNNNNNNNNACAAUCCACCUAUUAGUGGAUUGAAUUGAAAUUAUAAGUUUGAAAUUUUUUAAGAAUUUUUAAAAAUCUUCUUCAUAAAAUACAGUCAGCCCUCAAAUACAGAUUUAAGGUUUAAAAUUGAAAAAAAAAAAAAACUUUUUCAUUACUUUAUAAAAUUUCUUUUCAAAUAAAAUGUUAGAUGAUUCAAAUAAAUUUAAUGCUCUGAGAUUCAGAAAAUAGAAUUUACAGUGGUUGUGUAAGUUUGGUCGAAGAGGAGAGUGUUCCUUCCUUUUUAUUUCUUUUUUAUCUGUUAGUGACGCCGAACGGUUUCUCUGCUACAGUGCCACCUGUUUAUGUUACGCAGAUCCGUACGUACGAAAAUGUCAAACGCCAUUCCCAAGCCAGACAGCCAUUUAAUUUUCUUUGACGCGCGUAUUGACGAUACUGCGAAGUGACUGGGCCUGCUGUCCUUCCUUGUGUUGCGUCACCGGACUAAACUUCUUCCUAUUGGGUUUGAGCUUGUAAGUGACCCAGUUCGCUCUGCUUAUCCGGAUCAGGGCUAAAAGUGUUGAACCGGUCUGUCGGGGAAGUUUCAUAGGCUUUGGGUCAGUAUUACUUUCUUGGACCCGACCUCAUUCGGAGACGCGUGAAACCCGAUGGUUAUCAAAACUCAUGAGUAAACUCUAUUAUACUUUAAUGGUUAUCUAUUUUAUGUAGGUUCUUUAAUUACGAUAGCUAUUUAUAUUGCUUUGGAUUUAAUAAUAAUAUUUUGAUUUAUUUGUUGAAAAUAAGAAGUUGGGAAAAAAAUCUAAUUUAUAAAUCUGAACUUAAAUGAGUUUUUAUUCAGGUUAAACGUAUAAAUGAUUCGAACUUAACAGAUUUUUGAAAAUUUUAAAUUUAGUUUGAUAAAAAUUUUUCAAUUUUGAAAGCUUAUUAAGUUCGAGUUUGCAUGUUAAACUCAAAUCGAAUAUUAAAAAGAAUUUAAACUUUAUUCACUUAGCAAAUGAGUUCUGCGUUUUUAUGGAAUGUAAUCUGGAAUAAUUUAGAAACAGUUUAAUCUAUUUAUAAAUAUAAUAAAUUUUAAUUUAAAAUUAAAUAAUUUUGAUUAAAUAAGUAUAUAUAUAUAUAUAGAAAAUAGCUACUAAACAAAUAAAAUAUGAGUUUUUAAUUGUAUAUUUGUAAAUUUUAAAAGUAUAAUUAAAUUGUGUACGAGUGAAACUUUAAACAACUCAAAUUUAGUUUAUAAAAUUUUUCUCAAUAGUGUUUUUGUCAUUUGAUCCAAUAGCGUUCCGUUAGAUAGGUACAGAUUUGAUAAAUACUGAUAACUCUCGGAUAGAGUAUUAGAAUGGAAAAAUCCAUUAGAUAAUGAACUAUUGGUUCUAAGCCAUCUCUGGCGAUGAAUCAACAAUUCGAAGCGCUUUUCUUGCAUAUUCUUAAUAAACCAGCGUUUAUAUAUAGAUGUAGGAGGAUCUGUUUGGGAAGUAAGAAGCCCAUUUGACAUCUCUUUAUCUGCAAAGAAUUCUCGAUGUGAAAACACAGAGACAAAGGGCUGAUAUUUGAAUAGGAAAAAGAGUGGAUCCGCAGGGUCCCAAAUGAAUUGGCUUAUUCGAAAAAAGCCUUUUUCUUUGGAAAAUCUAUCUCGUAUCUGGUACUGCAUGGUUCCACUAUGCAAGAACUCCGAAUCAUUCUCUUGAAGCUCAUCCUCUUCAUCAUAGAUGAUCUCUUCAUCAUAGAUGAUCUCUUCAUCAUAAAUGAUCCACUUGCCCCAAAAUGACCGGCCCAAUAGAGAAAUCCCAAUUCAUUGGGCCUUUCAAUACAAUCAAAUAGAAACCCCCAAGGACGCCAUAUUCUAGGAGCCCAAACUAUGUGAGUGAAUAAAUCCUCCUCUAUCUAUCUAUUUACAAUUCAAUUUGCGAGCUCAUGAACUUAUAAAUGAGCCGAACUAAAUAUUAUAGAGUUCAAAUAUAACUUAUUUAUUGAAUAAAUUUAAAAAUAAAAUUAUUUAAAAAAUUUAAUCGAAUUAAAUUUUUUUAUCGCCUCAAAUCUUGAAUAGCUUAUAAAUAAUUUAUUUCAUUUUCACUGCAAUCCGUCUGAUAGGCUUAAUUCAUCCUUUCCCUUACACCAACGAGAAAUAUCUUCUUCCCAUCUAUGUAACACAUUUCAUUAAUCUGUUAAGAAAUAAAAUUUAAAAUUAAUUGGUCCCAGAGUAUUUCUCCACCUCGCUCAUUUAAUGGAACAGUAACAGAGGAGACAUGAAUGGAACAGAAGAAUCAUGGGAAGGGCUAUUCCUAUUUUACAACUUCUCAUUAAUAAUAAUAAUAAUAAUAAUAACAAUAAUGAAUAAUCUCCAUAAAAAUUAGAAAAAAAAAACAUUUCCAGAGUCAGAUUAGCCUACUGUUGUGCACACAACGCAGAACUAAACAUUGGGAAAAUUACUUUACCUUUACAGAGAGAGCUUUCGGGAUGUGCUCGUGUGCUAAUUUAAGGUAAUAAAUCCAAUUGUUUAGUCAUCUUCUGGAAAACAUUGGGAAAAUUAGUAUAUCUUUACAGAGAGAGAUUUGAGGAUGUGCUUUACGUAGGGAAAUCUUCCUCUGUAUGGUCCUUAAAGCAUUUCCGUCCGAAUACGGGUAUUAUAAUAAAAGAGAAAGCAAAAAGACCAUGUGCGAUUGAAUCUUUGAAUAACAAUAAUAAUGAAUAAUCUCAUAGAAAAAAUCCACAGUAAGAUAAGCCUACUGUAGGAUACACAGAAGACAGAACAGAGAAUUAAGUUUUUCUAAACAUAAAAGUUAAAUCAGCUAAAAUAACGAAUACAAGCUCGCCUAAAUUAGGGUAAAAAUGAGAUCACAGCAUAUAGGACCGCAAAAGAGAAUGUCCAGAGGAUGCAACUGAAAAUUCAUUACAAAAAUAGAAAAGAUACAUCUCUUGCGAAUGACUACAAGAAAACCAAUUGACUAUAUUAUUGAUCAAGUAUAACUUCAGCUAAAAACUAAUACAAAAUCUAGCACCCAUAUUCCUAAAACACACAAAAUAAAGCUGAUGGUAUUGAUUUAUUUUUAUCUUAUAAAACAAAUUCCAUUAUCUAGGAGGAGGGUAAAGCCCCAAUUUUAAACAUUACCCUAUUUUUUUCCCCUUUGGUAUAUGACUGCCACGCCAAUCUUCACCACCACUCACCAGAUCCAUGAAUUGACGAGAGAUCCAAUUCCUCAUAAAUCUCUUUCACUGGCAGAAGCGAUUAGGCAAAGAGCAAAACCCAUCUCAUGUCAAGUGUCUGUAGCUUCAACCUUUUGUCGAGCCAAGUACUUCUCUCUCCGCUCUUUCUGAAGAAUACAUAUAAAAAAUGGCAUAUAAAAUACAAUUAGACAAAGAAAAAGAAAUUUUUUUGUUCGAGGGAAAUAAGAUAAUAAACAUACCCAUCCAUCUGUUACAAGACCUUCCCCAACAACACGAGGCCCAGUGUCUGGUGGAGAUUUCUUACGAUCUUCAAAAGCAGCAUCAGCUUCAGUUAACUGAUGCUUCAGUUUUUCCAGUGCCUUGGAAAUUAUUAAAAAAAAAAAAGCAAAAGAAAAAUUAUUGUUGGAAAUGUACUUUUCCAGUAUCAAAAAAUUGAAAGACAGAUUUACUGACAGGACUAGGAUGCUCCACAUCCAAAAAUACAACCCGCAAUACUCGCUCAACUGUUACCCGAUCAAUCUGUUCAUCAAACUGCGAGGGAAAUAUUCAAUUCAGGUUAAUCUAAUAACAUGACAGAAUUUCACAAACACAAAAGAAGACUAAAAGAAACUGGAAUAGCAUGUUUAAUUGCAUGUCCGCAAAAAUAAGAAAGAACAAGAAUGAAAGUAGAAUAAAAUUACAAUAUUCCAAUGGUCCGAUGCAGCUCCACAUAAAAUUUUUUUAGAAAAUUUGCCUAGUUAUAAGAGCAUUGAAAAUUGCCAUAACAGUUCAUUGAUUGCAAUUCCAAGCUAAUUCUUGACCUAUUCUCAUAUCUACGAGACUACGACUCAUUACCAUAUCUACAAAGUUACAGAAAGAGGCCAAGUUGAGAUGUGGGAAAGUUUUUGCUUACACUCAUUAAGUAUGUUAAUUUGAAAAUCAAAAUUGGGAAAUUGCAAUUCGAUCUCUUUAAUAUAUCCCACACCAACCUAAUCAAAUGGUUAUAUACUCUCUUAGACAAUUUAUCUCAAGCAAUCAAAUAAGUAAAGCUAAUUACUAAUAAAAACAAUUUAAGACUAAACAACGAAACAGAAAGCAAAUAUGAUGAGCCUCACCAACUCAGGUGUAUAUUCUGUUCCUCCUUUCACCUUCAAACUCAUGAUCUUAAACUUAACAUUGCUCUUCUGGUCUAUUACUUUCUCAUUGUUCUCUGGAUGCUCCACAAACUUGAACACUGUCCAUUUCCCAAUUCAAAAUGAAAAUAAAUGUCAUAUGACUUGCAAAUUAAUCAUUAUAUUGCACCUCCAAACUGCACAAGAAAUCAUGUUCCCCGCCAAUUAAGUAUGAAAUUUCCAGAGGGAAAAAAUUUGGUACGGUACCAGUCGCAAUAAGGCUCUCUCCUGGAGCAAGGAUGCCACCAGGAGGACGCAUGAAACAACUCUUCGGUUCAGUUGUUUGAAACUACAAUAGGAUAGAGAAACCAGUCCGAUAUCAAUUAGGUUAUGCAAACGUCCAUAGUAUGAACAAAUGUAUAAACCUGAACAAGUCUAUUAUGCUUACGUUAUAUUUGAAACAAACCAUCAUCAAGUGUCAAUACGUCAUGUUAUAGCACAGGGAAAAGAUGUUAACAAAGAAAAAGAAGCAAAAUGACGAGUUUGAGUCUUUUGACAGUUGACAAAAGAUAAAAAGAGGCCAAAACCGCGUGGGGAAUGGAAACCCAUUCCAAACUCCAAGGUCAGCAAGCCAAAGAAAAUAAAAAUGGAGCAACGAAAGAAAAAGGCCUCAUUAAUUACUGGGUAAAUUACCAUCAGAUACUUAUAGUUUGUAAAAGUUAACUACUUAGUGCCUAUUUUUUAAAAACCACAUCAAAAUAUUCAUAUAUUUUAUAAGAUCAAACUCAUUAAUAUUUUUAUCAAAUAAAAUGUUAAUAAACUUAUUAUUAGCAUUUUAUUAAAUAUUAUAAAUACAUAAAAUUAUACAAAUUAAAUAGUAUAAAAAUUUGAAGUUAAAACAAUUUAACUAAUGUUUUUUAUAUAUAGAAAAGUUUGAUAGUACAAAAUAUAAGAUAUUUUCAUAGUAUCUUCUUUAAAUAAAUACUUUCUCUAUUUCUUAAUUUUUAUUCAUUUUAUUUUUUCACACAUAUUAAAAAAUAUAAUUUUUUUAAUUAACUUUUUAAUUAUACAUCUCUUAAAUAUAUUAAAUUUUAUUAAAUAUUGAGAAAUAUUUUAAAAAUUUUCUUAAAAAUAAAUAAAAUUAUAAUAAUUAAUUGACAUGUUGCUAUAAUUUAAAAAAAUAUGAACAAUAAUUUUAAAAUAAUAAAAAAAUAAUAAAAAUUAUGAGAUGGAGCAGUAUAUUCUAAUUUUUUUUUGUAAUUAUUUACCCUCAAAUGAUGUAAUCAUGUAAAUGCAACGCGAUGCGUCAUCUUGCCUUUGUUAAAAUCCAUACCAAUAAAAUUACUGUAUAACCCUGUUAAAGAACAAUAAUUUUUCCACCACAUUUUAAUUAUGUAAAACAAACCUUGAAAGCUACAUGAGACCUGCUAGUGUUUUUCAUCCUGAUUGCACUUCUCACCUGUUUCCCUGGUUCAUCUGCAACCCAUCCAGCACAAAAUAACUUCAGCGGUUACACAAAAGACAAAAAAAAGGUUAAAGCAAGAUUGAGAUCCAAAAAGAGAUAAGCGAGAGAGAGAGGUAAAACUUAAAAUAAGGCUUAAAAAACAGUAUACAAUAAGGUAAAAGCGUCAAACAAAGUAAAAAAACAAUAGAGAAAAACCCUGAAAUUUCUAUUAUUUGUUGAUCGAAAUCUCCAAUUCUUGGUUCUAUAAAUCGCGCUUGUUAACCAAAAGGAGAAUGACUCCGAUUAUAAUUCGAGUUGACCAAACAACUGAAGUCAACACGUGUAAAACAUUCAACCGUACAAAUAACGUCGACUUACACGGAAAGUAGAGGAUUUUAGCGGGGUCAAAACGGAGUCUGCGCCAAGCAGGGAGAAGAGAUCGGGCAACAGAUAAUACCGUUGUGGAUUUGGAGCUAUUCUUAACCUGCCGGUUACUGCUGUUGCCAUUACGAGUGUGGUUGAAAUUUUUCGUAGAAGAGGAAGACGAGGUGUUGGUUGUUCCGCUCUGCCAAAAAGGACAAAGACUAAACAACUUCUUAUCGCUGUGAGGCUUUUGCCGUUCGGCGACCGCCAUCGAUGUCACGGUUCAAAAUUAAAAAAACAAAUAUUCUCAGAGAAAAGGAAAGGAAGAAAGCUUAGUUUAGUUUGUUGUUAGGGAAAAUAUGUGGACCGUUGGGUUUCUUGGUGAGUUUUAUUGAAGAAAGCUUGGUUUAGUUUGUUGUCAGGGAAAAUAUGUGGACCGUUGGGUUUCUUGGUGAGUUUUAUUUAGGAAAUAUUAAUUAUUUAAUCUCUCGAGCUUGAAAAAAUUUUCAAAUAUUUUUAAAAUUUUAAAAAAUUUUCUUAAUUAAUAAUUUAUUAAUCAUUAAAAUAUUUUCAAUAUAAGAAAACUAAUCAAUAAUUUUUUUUUAAAUUAAAUAAUCAAUUAAUCAGUUUUUUAUAAUAUAUAAAUUAAAUAAUAAGAUAUUUGAUAAUAAAAAUUAAUGAAAUACUAUUUAAUAAACUUUUUAAAAUUUUAAAAAUAUUUUAUUGUGUUUUAAUAUUUCACUGAUUAAGCCUCUGUUUAAAAAAGUAUUUUGAAUAAAAAUAUUUAAUCUGAAAAAUAUUUUUUAAUAAAAUAAUUUAUCGUUCAUUUUUUAAUUUUAAUUUAAAAAACAAAAUAUUUUAAUAAAUUUAUAUAUAAAAAUUUUAAUAAUAAUUUUAAAAUUAGUAUUUUUUAUUAAUAAAAUAUUUUCGGUUGAUUUUUUUUUUUUUGAAAAAAGGCAGCAUUAAAUAAUAAAUUUAAUUUUUAUUUAAACGUGGGGCGUGGGGUUUGAAAUGGUUAUUUAAAUUGGAUUUUUGAGUUGGAAUCCGCUGGUAAGCGUGUUGACGGUUGUGCAAAGAUAGAGAAGCGUGAUAAAAAAGGCGUAGGACAGAAUAGGGAGGAUAGGUUUGCCCGCCGACGAUAUGUGAGGGAAAUGCAAUGUCAUUUGGAAUUAAAUAUUAAUUAGUGAUUUUGCUUGCAUUUAAAGUUUUUCUCUAUAUUCAUUACAUAUUUUAGUAAUUUACUUUUAAAUGUAUUUUUUAUAUAUAAGAUAUAAUAUUAUAAUAUAUUAUAAUUAAAUUUGUUAUUUUAUUAUUAAUUGAUUUUAAUUAUUAUAAAUAAGCUAUUUCAAACAUGGUAGUAGAAUCAUUAUACACACAUAUAUUUAAAAAAACUACAUCAGGAAAAUGAACACCCCAUUGUUUCUUAGACCUUACAAUGAAAUUCGACCUGCAAAAACCUUGAUCUUUCAGUGGUUCCACAGCAACAAAGGUGGCAGCCACAAUCCAAGCUUGUCUUGUGGCCUUCAUAACUUCUGUAAUUUGACAACUGUGUGCAGAAGUGUUGAUGAGUUGGGGAAGAUAAAAGGUUUGGUCUGUACAAUGGUAAACAUACUGAAAAAUCAGUAUGUUGUUCAUGGUUUGAGCCUCAGCCAAGGAUGAUGAUGAUGAAGAAGAAGAAAAAGGGUAAAAAAUCCUGGGCUGAGCCUCAGCCAAGGAUCUUACGUUGUUCAUGGCAUGGUGUUGCAGAGAUCUUAUAACAUAAUUCCAUCUGCAAACUCCUUGGUCUUUCAUUACCUCCACUGUGCCAAUACUAGCUGCCACAAUCCAAGCUCCCCUUUUACACUCAUUGUCUUUUUUUUAUUUUUUGAAAGAAUAGAAAGAUAAAACUCUAUUUUUAUAAUUACUUUUUGCUAAAUUAAAAUGUACAAUUACCAACAGGCAGGCUAAUUAGCCUGUGGCUUUUUCUGGCUGCCGAAAUGAAACAUACUGGGUAAAGGCUGGGGGAAGCUUCCCACUUUAUAUAGGCAUAGGGCUUUUGGAAUUUUUGCAUGAGGCUUGAUUAAUUGGCAUAUGGAUUAUCACCCACUGUUUAGGAACUGGCUCCAUUAAUAUAAUCAAUAUAAUUAAUGAUUAUAAUAUAAUCAAUUUUAAACAAAUAACCUCUGUGCUAUUGUUUUAUAUGUAUUUUAGAGUAUCACCUUAUUAUUAUUUUUUAAUUAAUGUAUACUAGAGCUGCAUUUAAAAGCUCAGACUAUUAAAGAUUAUAAAGGGCCAUUAAAGAACAUCAAAGUCCAGUACUCAACAGAUACCAAUAGAAAAACCAACCCAAAAGAAACCAAACUCAAACAACUAAACCGACUAACGAACCAAAACAGAUAUACAAAACAAACCAACAUGUAGCAGCAGCAAACCCAGUCAUUUCUUAAGGAAACUUCUAUCUGAUUUGAAGCAACAGCAAGGUCAAGCCAUUAUGCUUUAUGUUGCCCAGAAAUCAGACAUCUCCAUGUCUGAAAACUCAAGUCGACAUGGCAGGACAAAGCUUCAUGCUUUCAGAUAGGCAGAAAGAAAUGGAAGUGAAGCUUGUUCCUUGUUUAUUAGCAUGGAAAGAACAAUAUGCACAAAUCAGAGAUUUGUAGUUUAUCUUUGAUCUUUCCACCACAUGAUGAAAAGUAAGUGUGUUGGGAGGAAGAUCUCCAGAAAAUUCAAAGCCAGUGUCUCUAGACAAAACUCGUUAAUAAUAUGUUACUAUGCUACUUGAGUUAUUAUGCUUUAAAAACUUAAUGAUUAAGCAGUGAACUUAUGAGAAUUGGGGAUUUAAUAUGGUUCUCUGUCUAAAUUUUUUUUUUCUUCCUUUGUAAUUUUACUUUCCCCUUAAAAAAUGGCCUGCAACUCUGCAGACACAGUUUGGGAAAGAAACAAGGCCAGUGAUCUGAGUGCUUAGCUUGUAAUGAAAUUUGAGAUAAAAUCGUAUGAAAGUUCACUAAUCUAUAAACGAUCCAGAACUGAAACUGCAGACAUAGAAGAGCUGAAGGAACAUUAUUAUAAAAACUGAAAGGAAGCUAUAUGUACAUUCAAUGCAAAAUUGGCACUGCACAAACAAGCGUGAGGGUUCAAUUAGGACCCCAACAGCUCAAAUACAUAACUGUUCUGAGAGACUCCUCAGACUGUUUCAACUUGUCAUCUCUGAGCUUCUUUGGAAGAGCAGGAAGCAAUUUUUUCGGCUGCUGAGAAUAUGAUCUGAUAUUGUUCUUGGCAUGUUGUUGAAGUGACCUCAGUGCAUAGUUCCAUCUGCACAAGCCUUGAUCUUUCAGUGCUUCCACUACUCCUAUACUUGCAGCUACCAUCCAAGCUCUGCUUGUAGAACUCAUUUUGAAUUUGUAAACUAUGGAGUGGAACAGAGAACUGAAACUGGUUUGAUGUGAGGAUUUUAGUAGCUAGGAAGAAAGACUUGUAUCUUGCAAUUGUGAUUUUGUUGUGGAGGGGAGGAGUUCUUAUAUAUAUGUGGAAAAUUGGUGAAAUAAAUUAAUAAAAUAGGUAAAGAUUGGGAGUGGGAUUGAUUGGUGAGAUAAACCAGCGACGGUUUCACCAAUAGUUUAGGGAAAGCCAAUUGUUUAUAGCAGUGGUAUUUCUAAAACAAGCUCCGAGAAUCAUUGAAUGGGGACAGACAACUGUGAGACAGAGUGAAAGCGAACUCCAAAUAAACAAAGAGAUAUAAUCAUACUGAUAUCUGGUGGGGUAGGGUUUGGUAAUUUGGUGUUUGAUCUUAUCCUAAAGUUUCUUACAGUCUUGAAGCUUUUCUUUUCUUUGGAUAAGUUUUCCUUUAUUUGUUUGCUUAUCCUUCUUUAGAAUAGAUAGAACGUAAUCAGAAAAAAUAAAGCUUUUCCUUCUCUUAUUUAUAUAUAUUUUCUCUAAUUCAAACAAGAAAAAUACUUAUUCCACUUUAUUAGGUUUCAAUUUUUGUUUGUGUGAUUCCAUCAAUUAUGAGUUGAAAAUUUAGAGCACAAUAUAAA